UACGUAGGGGGCAAGCGUUGUCCGGAUUUAUUGGGCGUAAAGAGCGUGUAGGCGGCCAGGUAGGUCCGUUGUGAAAACUGGAGGCUUAACCUCCAGCUGUCGAUGGAAACCAUCUGGCUAGAGUCCGGAAAAGGAGAGUGGAAUUCCUGGUGUAGCGGUGAAAUGCGCAGAUAUCAGGAAGAACACCCGUGGCGAAGGCGGCUCUCUGGGACGGUACUGACGCUGAGACGCGAAAGCGUGGGGAGCGAACAGG
rnacentral:rRNA from 1 species